rnacentral:rRNA from 1 species
AUGUAAGGAUUCAAAGGUCGAACAGACCUAAACUUUGAACUUCUACACCCAAAAAUAACCCUUAAUCCAACAUCGAGGUCGCAAUCUUUUUUGUCGAUAUGAACUCUCAAAAAAAAUUACGCUGUUAUCCCUAAGGUAACUUAGUCUUAUAAUCAAUAAUAUUGGAUCAAUAAUUCAAUAAUUUUUGUAAAAUAAAAAAAAAGAGUUUUAUAAAUCUUCCUGUCACCCCAACAAAAUAUUUAAUUUAAUAAAAUUUAAAAAUUUCUAUAAAUAAAUUAUUAUACAAAUAUAAAGUUCUAUAGGGUCUUCUCGUCCUUUAAUUACAUUUAAGCCUUUUAACUUAAAAGUUAAAUUAUAAUUUCAUUUAAAUUGAGACAGUUAACACCUCGUUCAAUCAUUCAUUCUAGCCCUCAAUUAAAAGACUAAUUAUUAUGCUACCUUUGCACGGUCAAAAUACCGCGGCCCUUUAAAUCAUCAGUGGGCAGAUUAGACUUUAAAUUAUUUUCUAAAAG